rnacentral:rRNA from 1 species
GACGAACGCGGCGGCGUGCUUAACACAUGCAAGUCGAACGAUGAAACCGACUUCGGUUGGUGGAUUAGUGGCGAACGGGUGAGUAACACGUGGGCAACCUGCCCUUAGCUCUGGGAUAACUUCGGGAAACCGAAGCUAAUACCGGAUACGGCUACUUUCGACAUCGAAUGGUAGUGGAAAGUUCCGGCGGCUAAGGAUGGGCCCGCGGCCUAUCAGCUUGUUGGCGGGGUAAUGGCCCACCAAGGCGACGACGGGUAGCCGGCCUGAGAGGGCGACCGGCCACACUGGGACUGAGACACGGCCCAGACUCCUACGGGAGGCAGCAGUGGGGAAUAUUGCGCAAUGGGCGAAAGCCUGACGCAGCGACGCCGCGUGAGGGACGAAGGCCUUCGGGUUGUAAACCUCUUUCAGCAGGGACGAAGCGAAAGUGACGGUACCUGCAGAAGAAGCACCGGCCAACUACGUGCCAGCAGCCGCGGUAAUACGUAGGGUGCAAGCGUUGUCCGGAAUUAUUGGGCGUAAAGAGCUCGUAGGCGGUUUGUCACGUCGGAUGUGAAAACCUGAGGCUCAACCUCAGGCCUGCAUUCGAUACGGGCAGACUAGAGUACUGUAGGGGAGACUGGAAUUCCUGGUGUAGCGGUGAAAUGCGCAGAUAUCAGGAGGAACACCGGUGGCGAAGGCGGGUCUCUGGGCAGUAACUGACGCUGAGGAGCGAAAGCGUGGGGAGCGAACAGGAUUAGAUACCCUGGUAGUCCACGCCGUAAACGGUGGGUGCUAGGUGUAGGCCGUAUUCCACGCGGUCUGUGCCGCAGCUAACGCAUUAAGCACCCCGCCUGGGGAGUACGGCCGCAAGGCUA